AUCACUAUAUUGUACACCUGAAACUAGUAUUACUGUAUGUUAACUAACUGGAAUUUAAAUUAAAGCAUUAAAAAUUUUUAAAUUAAAAUGACCUUGUUUAGAAGUAGUAAGCUACUUAGUUUGCCACUACUAGUAUAAAUAAUAGAGCAGGGAUUAAAUGUUAUAAAUAUGAAGAUUAAGGCUCAGAGGGAUUAAAUGUUGACUCUCUUCCUUUCAGACCUAGUUUGGCCAUUAGGAAUAAAAACCUUCUCAAAGUUGUUCAACAACAACAACAACAACAACAAAAACUGGUAUUGGUUCACAUUCUUGAAAGAGAAUCAUAUUGCCCCAGUAUAUCUACCUAUCAAGCUGUACUUGAUUGCUGGUCCAUCCAGUCACUAUGGCCAUGGGGUCGCAUUCUCAUAAUAUAGAUAUGAACACCUUCAUCAGGGACUACCAAUUGAAAUGGCUGAGUUGUAGGCAUCCUAGAACACAUCUCCUAGUUUAUGCCAGGCCCACAGUCAGUGAGUGGUGGAGUCAGAGAACCUAAUGAGAAAGAAAAAUCAAUACACCUGAUGGCUGAAGAAUCAAAAUGAAUUCCUAGAUAUUGAGCCUGAGAGACUGGGAAAAAUGAAGUCGCCAGAAACAGAAAUGAGGAGGUGGGAAACAGGAAUUAGUGGUAAGGAAGAGAAUGGGUUUGUUGGAAUAGUUUGAGUGUGAGCUGAAAUGAUCAUGAUAAGGAAAUAAAACCAGAAAUAAAAAUGGUGUAGUCCACAACCUUAAGUAUAAUUGGUGAUCAAAACAUUAGUUGUCUUCCACCAUCCCUUAAUUCAAUCCUGCCUCUUACACUUUUCCACUUAUUCUUGAUAGACAGUCCUAUUGUCAUAUUACAUUGCAAACAGCCUCAAUACAAUAAUUAGAAUGUCCAGUUCAGUGCAAUACUCAAAUUUCUGAACUUAAUUUAGCAUCACAUCUUUUCCCCACCCCUACCCUUCCUACCCCCCACCCCAAAAUCCUGCUUCAAGUUGGGGUGAGGAAAGGGACUUGGCCUUCUGGUUACAUUCUCCUUCACUUGCUACCUGAAGACUUGCUUUCCCUAGGGAUUAAAGUUGGGUGGGGAGCGGGGAACAGACAGAAUGAAGAAGAGAGGAGAGGUGAAGAGAUAAAACAGUUCUUUAUUUACUUGUAUGGCUUCAAGUUUGCCAGUCUUAGUAGACAAUUAAAGCUGAUAUAUCCCUGAAUCAGACUGGCAGAUGAUUAAAGUUGAUACUUUCUUUCAAAGUGCCCUUUAAAGAUCUCCUGCUGGGCUCCUCUCUACUGCUGCUCUCCUAAAAAGGUUGUAGGGUUAGAAGUGUUGGAAUAUAUUACAGUUUCUUCCUCAGCCCCUUGUCAUUAGCUGAUACACCUUUAUCUUUUUUCCACUGGGGUCUCCUUGCCUCUCACAAAUGUCCCCUUGAUGGCUUUCUCUCCUGCAUGGCCCCUUCUGGUCCUCAAGAAACACUCAGAUAUUUAUUAUUGACCAUUUCAAACACAUCAUAAGCUUAAAAAGUAGUCUCAUAAUAGAAUAAUGAGGACCCAUCAGAUAGCUCUAAUGGAGAAUAAUCAAUAAUCCUCCAUUCUUAUUUAGUUAAUCCCCAUUCCAAUCCCACUAAAUUUUUGAUGUUGUUGCUGGAGUAUUUGAAGGAUGUAAUUUCUCCCAUAAAUACCUUAGUAUCCAUUCUCUCUGAAUUCACUGUUCUACGGUUUCAUCUUUCUUUCUCCUACCCCUCCCCUUACUCUUCCCCACACAUAUCUUUACACACAUAUUCUAUCAAAACUGUUCUAACAAGGUAGCAUGAAUACAUCUGAAAUGAAAAAUCCAAUAUUCACUUUUCAGUCCAUUUCUUCCACUGCUCCCAGCAGCAUGUGUUCUUCUCAACCACCCCAUUCUUAUUGGGUAGUCUCUUUUAGUUUGAUUUCUCUGAUAUACCUCCCCAGCUUCUCUUCCAACUUCUCUUACCACUCUUCUUCGCUUCCUUAAACAUGCUCUUUUUCUCUUUGCCAUCUUGAGUAUUUGUGUUUCUAUAUAAGAAUACGAGACCCACUUUCUCAGAUAAGCAAGAGCUUACUUAGAUCCUAGACCCAGGCUGGGAAUACCACGUCUGAGUAUAUGGAUCAUUUAAGAAACACAAGACACUUUCUUCUACAGUCUGGGGUGGUAACCUGACUGCCAGCUGAAUUUACAGCCAUGAGUGAUAUGGUUUGAAGUGUUGGUGUUCAGACCCAGGGACCAAGAAAGAAUUCUUGAGAUGUCUUUGCUGCAAAAAGGUGAUUUUAUUAAAGCACAGGGACAGGACCUGUGGGCAGAAAGAGCUGCAUGAGGUUGUGAGGAAUAACUGAUUAUACAUUUGGGAGUUGGAGGAGGUAAAGGCAAAGGGAAGUUUCAAAAGGGGCUUUCAUAUGUUAAAUAAGACUCACAGGAUCCCGGAGGCCUAGAUAUUGUCAAGCUAAGGUUGUUUUUCCCUCUAGCAAAGCAUUAACAUUAAGACAGCUGGAGUUCCUGGAAGAAUGUCAUACUCUGCCUGUCUCAAGUUAUACGCCAAUGGGCUGUGGGUUAAAUGGAAAUUUAAUUUUAUCUACAGUUCCUUUUGCCUUUGUUUCCCACUUCAAGGAGGACUAUCCAAACCUAUUGUCAAUAUAAAAGUGUGUGUGUGUGUGAGAGAGAGAGAGAGAGAGAGAGAGAGAGAGAGAGAGAAGGCCGGUGGUGUUGUUGGAGAAGUGGAUAAAGUACACUAAAGAUGGCUGAUUGGAUUAAAACAAACUCUGGUCUCUAGCUUAGAGACCCCUCCUCUGGGCUCUUCUUCCUUUGCUGCGUGCAUGGGAAAACCAUCCCCCCCCACACACACACAAAUAUGGAGGCUGAUAACUAUAAAUUACCCUUCCCGCUCGCAUUCGGAGCUCAGAUCUUUGGAGAAACGGUCUCCUCUGAGCCCACUGGUGUUAAAUAAAUCUCCAAUCCACCAAGGUCUCUGAGAGCCACUUGGUUUUUCUGCCAGAGUUUCAGCCUGAUUCCAUAACAAAUUUGGUUCCCUGACUGGGAAACCCAACAGCGCUGGCCCAUUGUUGCCACCAGUUUGGGAGAAGAGCGAGGCAGUUACAGAAUGAGGGAUCACAAGGGAGAGUGUGCACCCUGCCUAAAUUUCAGCAGUCUCCUUCUCUGUCCCCUUCAGGCCGGCCCACUCCACCGUUCCCACCAGACUUGAGGAUACUUGGCAGGUGAGGACCUGGACCCCACGUCGAACCGUAAGGCUGGGGCCCAAUCUAGUCAGGCCUACUUGCAAGAGUGGAAGGGGGACCUGAUCACUACCUGAGACUUCAGAAGUCUCACAGGUAGGGAUUUUAUGGUAGGGAAUAUAAUAACCUCUGGUGUGUAUGUGAAUGUGAAUGUGUGACUCGGUCUAGCUUGCCUGCUGAGUUAGAUUCUGUGGCUCCACAGGCAGGUGUCCUUGGGGUCCCCAGGGGGGCACGGAGUCUGAGUGGGCCCAUCUGUGAUUCCAUGAUGGAUGGCACUCGGUGUGGCAAUAUCAGAAUGGUUUCUGAUUGUGGGUGGCAGGGCUGGGACCUAUGGGCUGAGCGUCGCCUAGGUUCCUUCAAGACACAGCCAGGAGGGCAUCUGGCUGGUCUCCUCACUGGAGGGGAUGCCCCUGUCCCUCUGUCUUUGUGACUCUGCCUCACAGGAACAUUGUGGGGUUGGGACAGAACAAGGAGAGCCAGGUAAAGGUUUUAGCUGCUUUAUCCGGAGACUCACCCAGGGAGCCAAAGGAGCGACCCACCGCUCCCUUAAUGUUACCCUCUUCAUGACUCUUUAGGCUCCCUCCCCCCUCCCGAGCUUGAAACUCCUCCCCUGGUGGACUGCUGCCACUGCUGCCCCAGCCAGAGCGCUGCUGCUGCUGCAGCAGCCGCCCAUUUCUCCUCCCCUUCCAGGCCAGAGAACCCUCCCCCACAAGGCUCAUGGCCAGAUUGCACCCUAGGCCAAGCACAGGCGCCCUCCAUCAGGGGCAGGCGCUCUCCAGAUGCCAGUCCACAUCCACUGAUAUCAAGAGGCUGUCAGGAAGAUCAGAGCAGGGGUCUGACAAAGCCAUAAAUAUGCCCAGUAGCAAGGGGGAUGCCCAGAACAUCCUUAGCAAGGGGUCAAUGAACCUACUGCAAGGGGAAAGGACAUUAAAAAGAAUAAGUGUCCCAACCAGGGAAAGUCCCCAAAACCCAGCGGAAAUCAGGAGGAACCUCCAGAAGGGGACCUUGUUGGUCUAGCUGAGACAGAACCAGACUAAAAGGGGACACUGAUUCGCUCUCCCUGUUCCUCUGCUUAAUAGAUGUGAGGGAUUCUCCCUCAUUUCCCAGGUUAAAAGCUAUAGUUGGAGCCAACUGUGGUUAGUCUACCUCAGGACAGGGACUUUAAGGAAUAUUCCCAAGAAGUUGCUGCUUCUGCCUUCCCCUUCCCCUCAUGUUUCUGCACCAACUUGGGUGUGGUCCUAUACCAUCCUCAGUGUCUCAGGCACCAUUGGUUCCUCCUCCCACCCUCCAAGUCAAGGAGCAAAGUGCACCCUCCUUGGACCACCCAUUUCAGAUAUCUCCACUGGUGCCCCAAAUGAAAAUUGACAAUGGGGAAAAGUUGAUUGACUUUUAGGUGGAUGCAGUUAAACAUAUUCGAUGUUUAAACUAAUCUAAGUUUAUUGGACCUGUCUUUAAAGUUAUCAGCAAAGGUCAAAUAAGCUCAUGUUAUUUCUGUUGCAGUUUGUUAAUGAUAGUUAAUUUUGUUUGUCUCAAAGUUUUCAUGGGUAAUUGUUAAGAUAACUUUCAAAGUCCUUGGCAACCUGAAACUUUCCAAAUAGUAUGGAAUGCUAAAGCUUUGAUUAUUGAACAUAGGUUUGUGUUUUUAACUUCUUAUUGCUGAGAAAUUAAGGCUAUUCAGACCUAUUGGAAAGCAUGCUUUGUACUUAAUUGAUUCAUGAAUUUACCAUCUAAAAAAAUUCUGAUUAAACACCUCUUAAUUGGUUACCAAGUCCUCAUUUGGAGACUAAAGUUUCCUAAGAGUUUAAAUUUUUCUAAAUAUACUUAAGACUGAUGAAAAUAAAGAAAGCAACUCUGUAUGUAGGAAAAUAGGAGGUAUAUAAGAAAGAUAUAAGGAAUGGAAAUACAGUUUCUUCGAGGGUAGAAGAAAAUAAUUUUGUCCUGAAUGAAACUAGUUAUUUGGAAAGAAAUGUCUUUGGGACAAAAUUUAGAAGCAAAAGAAAGUUAUAGAAGGUUGAGAUGAAUGGAAGUUUAAAAGUACACUAGUAUAAUGUUGAAAUCCUGCUUUUCUCUCUGCUCAAAUGACAAAGUUUUCUUAAACUGUUGAUCUGCUUUUGAUAAGACAAUGCAAACAAAGGUUUAUCCUCCAGGAAAAUCAAAGUUUUAGGUCUCAUCUCUAUCAGGUCUUUGAUUACUUAGUUAAAACUUCUGAAUGUUAAAGGAGCUAGGUUUUGAUAACAACUGUAUAAUGCUGUACAUUCACCUUUGGGAUCUUUUAUUGCCACUUUGGUUGAAUAUAUAAAAUUGUAAGAUUUGUAAUGAUCUGUAAUCCUAUUUAGGAUGCACUUAUGACUUUUGGGGUUUUAACAAACUUCUCAGGAUUUAAAUGGUAAACGAAGUCUUCUUGACCAAUUAGGCUCUUUUAUUUGGGAUGUCAAGUUACUUGGAAAAGCUCUGUCAUACAAUAGUAAACCUUAGAUUGUAUUGCACAGGUAAAUGCUGUAACUGCCUGAAUAUAUGCAAUUCCUAAAAUUUUAAUGUUUUGAUAUAAGGUCAUCACUUAAUAUUCUGAUUACUUGAGAUGUUAUGUGUCACAGAAAUAACCGAAUUUCUUUGUCAAUUGCAUCAUAAUGAACUCUCAUCAGAUCUUUAAUGAUGUCUAUUUCUGAGAUUUUGCCAUUUAUAAUUGUUCUUAUUCUCUCACAAAACAUGUCUCUUCUUCAGGAAGAUUUAUAAAAAGGAAUUUGGGGACAAAUACAGGUAUUCAACAUCCUUAAGAUUAAUACUAAAAUGAGUAAAAAUUUCCAUAACUAAAAAGCUGCAUUCAAAUUGAAUAAGAAUUAGGAACAUGAGAUUAAAUGAACUGAGGAAGAUUAUAGUUUUGUGAUUCUUGUUAAAAAUAUUGUUGGUUCCCUAAUGUUUCCUCUUCCAGAUUAAGGAAACUUUCUCUUAAGAUAACUAUGAUAUAUAAAAAUGUCAUAAAGUAUGCAUUUGUAAACUGAAGCAUUUAUCUUUUCUCUCUACAUAAUUCCCCUGAAAUUCAAAACUCUCAAUGAGUAUUCUUUCUUUCAUGGCAAUUACAAUUGUUUGCAAAAGUUCAAUAAGAAUCUGUUCAUCUUAUAACAGGUCACCAUUUGGAAAUACUGGUUAUUUUACCAAGGCUUUGACUGGAAUGUCAUAUUUGAGGAUGACAUUCAUAGACUCAGAUAUGACCAGACAGCUUUAAGGAAUUAGGGUUGGCUUUAUAAAACAUGGAGCCAUAAAGCCCCUUGGAAGUGUUGGCCUGGUCCCUGCUUACAGAGUUCCCAGCAGCCUCACCGGUUACCAGAAACCUAUCCCUUUGGAAGACUUGGAGGUGGACUUUACAGACAUACAACCAAAUAGAGGAUUCAGUUUCAGGUAUCACCCCAUGGGUUCAUCACUCCAGAGCUAAGAAGGCCAACUCAGAGGAACCUUCAACCUGGCAAAGUGAUCCAGAUCCAGGCAACCCACUUAAACUGACCCUCAAAAAGACACUGGCCCCUGAGAUCUCCAGCCCUGCUCCAACCACACCCUGGAAGUUGGCUGGCCUGUGCAUGGCAGAAGCUUGAGGAAUCAAUAUAUGCACUGAACCCAGGGAUUUGGAUACAACUCUGCCAGCCCUUGCCUUUCACUGGUGUCAUAGCCCUGAUCUUCUUACUGUUGGGCUGAUAGAGACUGCACCAACAAGCUGGACAUGGGACAAAAGAUGUAUGCUGGAUCUCAUAUACCUCCUCUAGAUGGGAGGAUUAUUAAAUAUUGUCUGUAUAUUAUGAUAACCUCUCUCACUUUCACAACUGCCACUUACCCACUUUGCCCCCAGGAUUGUUAUAUGACAAUAAGGGGGUCAAGGUCGUUCAGCACCUUCACCUCCCUCCACAAAGAUUGCUACAAGGGAAAAACACCCACUAUCUGUCAGGCCCCCCGGGGCCCCAAGGACUAAGGUUUGGACCAUGGGGAUAACCCAAAAUGUCAGAAAUCCAUGUCACAACAAGGGCCUCUAGAGAGGGAAGCUUGUUACACUUAGCUUCCUCAAUGGGGGAUCUCAGACAGGGGAGGAAUGCAAGACAGGGCCCUUCAAAAGUUUAUAAAAUAUACCCAGGAUAGGGUAAUAUAAACCAUAAAGGCGACCACUCCCCCAGCAGCCUACCAGUGUUUGAGGCUUUCAGCCCUCAGUCAGAUGCUUACCAAUUCCCCACUCCAGCUUUGGACUAACACUACUCUAAAGUCCUCCAUCAAAUAGAUGAUCACACCCAUACCUGCUGGAUGUGUUUGCCCCUCAGCUGGAGGGCUUACUUAGUCACUCCUAUCCCUUUGACCUGGGAAGCUCCUGAAAAUCUCAAAUCCAACACUUCUGUCUUAAUUGGACCCUGACCACUGGGCUCUGUUUCACAAAUGCCAACAAUCUAAUCUGUACAGUCCCUGAGGGUAUGAAUGGUACCUCUCUAUAAUGAAGAAAUAUAACCUUAAAGAGGAAUACAACCCUAUGUUCAAACCCUAGGGUGUUCUAUCUAUGUUCUAAUUCAGCCUACCAAUGCUUAGAAGCCAACUGGACUCAGAUAUGUUAUUCUGUCUUCCUAACCCCAGAGAUAUCUGUAUACACUGAAGAUCAGCUCCUAACUGCCUUUAGCCCCAAGUCCCAGACUAAACAGGCAGUCCUGCUACCUGUUCUGAUACGAGCAGAAAUUGAGACAGGAAUAGGAACUGGAAUAGGGGGCAUAGGUUCAUCCGUGGGACUAUACCAUAGACAUUCUCAAGAGCUAAAUGAAGACAUGGAACAGGUGGCAGAUUCUCUGGUAACCUUACAAAGCCAAAUAAACUCUUUGGCGGUGGUGACCCUCCAAAAUAGGUGAGCCCUCGACCUCCUCACUUCAGAAAAAGGAGGGACUUGCAUCUUUCUGGGGGAGGAAUGUUGCUAUCUCCUAAACCAGUCAAGAAUAGUUACAACAAAGGUUAAGAAAUUCAAGGAAAGAAUUCAACAUAAACAAUAGGAAAAUAUCAAUCAAUGGAAAGGAUGGAAUCUCACAGAUUGGGCAUCCUGCUUCCUGCCCUGGCGGGGCCCCUCCUCUCCAUAAUUUUACUUGUAUCCAUCGGCCCCUGUAUACUGAAUGCCAUGGUAUGUUUUAUUGAAAACACUGUUUCUUGCCAAACUACUGCACAUAUCUUAGCCUUCUGAGAGUACCAACCUGUAAAACUGAAAGGUGAUGCCUAUUAAAAGUUUUUUUUUUUUUUUAAGGCAUCAAAGGGGGGAAUGUUGGAGAAGUGGAUAAUGUACACCAAAGAUGGCUGAUUGGACUAAAACAAACUCUGGUCUCUAGCUUAGAGAUCCCUUCCUCCGAGCUCUUCUUCCUUUGCUGCCCACGUGAAACCCCCCCCACACACACACACACGCACACACAAAUAUGAAGGCUGAUAAUUAUAAAUUACCCUUCCCGUUCGCAUUCAGGGCUCAGAUCUUUGGAGAAACGAUCUCCUCUGAGCCCGCCGGUGUUAAGUAAAUCUCCAGUCCACCAGGGUCUCCAAGUGCUGCUUGGUUUUUCUGCCAGCAUUCCAGCCUGAUUCCAUAACAGUGUGAGAAGGGAGAUGAUUCAUUUUCAGAAAUACCAAAUAAAAGCUGUGCUGUCUAGUUAACAGUAGGUUUACAACCUAUUGGAAAUAUGUACAACUUCUCCCCACCACAGUGGAGUCCCAAACACUUAGACCCUUCACUUCCUGGUUCUUCUUCCCCUCUCUGUUUCGUGGACUUAUUUUCCCGGGUUUAUUUUCAUGGGCUUUGCAAUGAGCAUGCACCAAAGAACAAAGGGAGGAAGGACUGAAAAUCUCUGUGUCACCUUAGUGAAUGUACAUUUGUUCCAAUCAGACUACUUUUUGUCUUACUUUGGCAUGGGUGACAUCCAGGUGAUAAGGGAGCAUGGGGUGGGCUGACAAAGUGCAAGCUAGCACACCCAACCCCCUCCCCCCCCCCAGGUGGGAUGUGUGAUAUUUUUCAGGCACUCCUGUCUGCCCCAGGACAAAGGAAAGGAAAGAAAACAAAUGGCCAACUGAUAGAGAUCACAGUCAUACAGGACAUUUGUCUCCAUGAUUUUAUCUUAAUAAAUUACAAGAAAAAGGCAAUCUUAUUAGGCAAGAAAAAGCCUAAUCUCCAGAAACCUAUGGACUCAGUUUCCUGGAGCCCCAACAUCACCCCUCCAUAGUGAUAUGGAGAACAAAGGCAAGAAGGAAAUGGCAGGUAAAAUUAAAUUUUCUGGUGACCUGCAGCCCAUUGACAAAUACUUGAGGCAAAUAGAGUAUAAAAUUUCUCCAGGAACUCCCUACCGUCCUAAUGUUAAUGCCUUACCAGAAGGAAAACAACCUUAGCUUAACAAUAGCAAGGCCUCAGGUAUCUUAAGAGUCCUCUUUAGCAUAUCAAAGUCCCUCUGGAAGCCUCCCUUUUGACUUUACCUCCCCAACUCCAUAGUAUAAAACCAUUCUUCACAACCCCAGCGCAACUCUUUCUGCCCAUGGGUCCUGAUCCUGUGCUUUAAUAAAAUCACCUUUUUGCACCAAAGACAUCUUCAAGAAUUAUUUCUUGGUCAUUGGCUCUGGACCCCCCACCAUCACCCCAAAACCUCAUCAUGGGUAAGGCUGUAACCUCUGUAGUACUCAGCCAAAGAGGAACCAGGGGAGGGACUUGCAUGCUAGGAGAUAAAUUGUCUGCUGUAACUGCCCUAAGUGUGCCUGUUCAUCAGACACCUGCUCUUGCAAGAACGUUGAUUAAAGCCUCCCUUCACUGUG